UACGGGGGGGGCAAGCGUUGUUCGGAAUUACUGGGCGUAAAGGGCUCGUAGGCGGCCAACUAAGUCGGAUGUGAAAUCCCCAGGCUUAACCUGGGAACUGCAUCCGAUACUGGAUGGCUUGAAUCCGGGAGAGGGAUGCGGAAUUCCAGGUGUAGCGGUGAAAUGCGUAGAUAUCGGGAGGAACACCUGUGGCGAAAGCGGCGCACUGGACCACAACUGACGCUGAGGCGCGAAAGCUAGGGGAGCAAACAGG
rnacentral:rRNA from 1 species